UACGUAGGUGACAAGCGUUGUUCGGAAUUACUGGGCGUAAAGGGCUCGUAGGCGGCCAACUAAGUCCGACGUGAAAUCCCAAAGCUUAACUUUGGAACUGCGUCGGAUACUGGAUGGCUUGAAUUCGGGAGAGGGAUGCAGAAUUCCAGGUGUAGCGGUGAAAUGCGUAGAUAUCUGGAGGAAUACCGGUGGCGAAGGCGGCAUCCUGGACCGACAUUGACGCUGAGGAGCGAAAGCUAGGGGAGCAAACGGG
rnacentral:rRNA from 1 species